GAGAUACUCCCUCCGUUCCAAAUUACUUGUCUUGGAUUUGUCUAGAUACGGAUGUAUCUAGACUCAUUUUAGUGCUAGAUACAUCCGUAUCUAGACAAAUCUAAGACAAGUAAUUCGGAACGGAGGGAGUAGUUA
rnacentral:pre_miRNA from 1 species